AUGCUCACCUGCCAGGGAGAUGGCAGGGCCAAGAAUUCAGCUUUCACAGGGUAAGGCCCAUCUCCUGCAAUCUGAUGUGCUAACCCUGUGAUUUUCUCACAUACAGGAAAUUCAACUGCAUAACUUUCUGGUAGUGGGGGGACUAUAUUCAUGUUCUCCUCUG